UACGUAGGGUGCGAGCGUUGUCCGGAAUUAUUGGGCGUAAAGGGCUCGUAGGCGGUUUGUCACGUCGGGAGUGAAAACUCAGGGCUUAACCCUGAGCCUGCUUCCGAUACGGGCAGACUAGAGGUAUGCAGGGGAGAAUGGAAUUCCUGGUGUAGCGGUGAAAUGCGCAGAUAUCAGGAGGAGCACCGGUGGCGAAGGCGGUUCUCUGGGCAUUACCUGACGCUGAGGAGCGAAAGUGUGGGGAGCGAACAGG
rnacentral:rRNA from 1 species